CUGGUCUUGACAUGUCUGGAAUCCCGAAGAGAUUUGGGAGUGCCGCAAGGAACCAGAACACAGGUGCCGCAUGGCUGUCGUCAGCUCGUGUCGUGAGAUGUUGGGUUAAGUCCCGCAACGAGCGCAACCCUCGCCCUUAGUUGCCAUCAUUUAGUUGGGCACUCUAAGGGGACUGCCGGUGAUAAGCCGCGAGGAAGGUGGGGAUGACGUCAAGUCCUCAUGGCCCUUACGGCCUGGGCCACACACGUGCUACAAUGGCGGUGACAAUGGGCAGCAAAGGCGCGAGCCGGAGCUAAUCUCAAAAAGCCGUCUCAGUUCGGAUUGCACUCUGCAACUCGGGUGCAUGAAGUUGGAAUCGCUAGUAAUCGUGGAUCAGCAUGCCGCGGUGAAUACGUUCCC
rnacentral:rRNA from 1 species